rnacentral:rRNA from 1 species
UACAGAGGUCUCGAGCGUUAGGCGGAAUCACUGGGCUUAAAGCGUGUGUAGGUGGAUUGGUAAGUACCUUGUGAAAUCCCACGGCUUAACCGUGGAACUGCUGGGUAUACUGCUAGUCUUGAGCCAGCUAGGGGCUACCGGAACAAAUGGUGGAGCGGUGAAAUGCGUAGAUAUCAUUUGGAACGCCAAAGGUGAAAACAGGUAGCUGGGGCUGUGCUGACACUGAGACACGAAAGCCAGGGGAGCAAACGGG